CGUCAGCGAUGGGUUCGGCUUCAGCUAGAUCGUUCAGGAUUUCAGCUACAGCUUCGUUACCGGUUCUUCACCCGCCUCCUCCCGACGCUCCCGAUCAGCCAUUUUUCCCGGAGAAUCCUUCCACGCCUGACCAGUCUCAGCUCCCUCCUCCUCCUCCGCCUCCUGCUUCCUCCGACGCCAAUGGCGGAUUACCGAUUCCGACGGCUACUACUCAGCAGGCGAAGCCUGGGAAGAAAUUCGCGAUCGUCAUAUCCGUUGGAGUCGUCACGCUCGGUAUGCUCUCAGCUCUAGCUUUCUUCUUGUAUCGCCACAAAGCUAAACACGCAAGCGACACUCAGAAACUCGUUAGCAGAGGAGGCGAUGGCGGUUCUCGAAGAUUCCAGGAAGAUCCGCUUCCACCGACGUCUUCCACGUUUCUCUAUAUGGGAACCGUUGAACCGAGCCGCGAACCGGCAAGUGAAUCUAUUGGACCGGUUAAUACUUCUCCGUACCGGAAAUUAAAUUCGGUUACGAGAUCAGAUCGAUACCGGCCGAGUCCUGAGCUUCAACCGCUUCCACCGUUAGCUAAACCGCCGCAACCGUCUGAGAACUCUCCCUCGGCCUUGUCUCCUUCUACGUCGUCUUCCGACGAAGAAUGCCGCGGCACCGCGUUUUACACGCCGCAUGGAUCUGCUAUCAGCAGCGACGACGGUUACUACACGGCGUUUCCUCGGUCAGCCAACAGCAACGGCCAUUCCUCAGGAUCGAUUCCUCACUCGAAGAGGACUUCUCCGAAGUCGAAGUUUGGAUCUAGGUCGCCGGAGAUGAAGCACGUUAUCAUUCCGUCGAUAAAGCAGAAACCGCCGCCAAUACAAUCUCCACCACUAAGGGGCUUGGAAACUGAUCCUUAUCCACAGAACAAGCCUAAGUUCUCUCAGCCUCCUCCUCCGCCGAAUAGAGCGGCGUUUCAGGCGAUUACGCAGGAUAAGUCACCUCUCAGCACACGAGUGUCACCACGGAGGUCUCCUCCUCCUCCACUCCAUACGCCACCUCCACCUCCACCUCCUCCUCCUCCUCAGAUACGGCCAAGAGAUUUCCAGAUACCUCGAAAAUUCGUAGUGACACGUGGCGUGGUUCGGUUUCAAAUCUUUAUCGUGCGGUCCUAUCGUUUUACACCCGUCUCGAAGCCAGACGAUCAAUCAAGAAAACUAGCAUUCAAGACUCCAAGUCCUCAAUCGAAAGCUGUUGAAGAGGCCAAAAGUGUAUCAGCUGACGGGGACACGGAUCCAAGCAGGCCAAAGUUGAAGCCACUCCACUGGGACAAAGUACGCGCGAGCUCUGAUCGUGCCACAGUUUGGGACCAGCUCAAAUCAAGCUCAUUCCAGUGCGUAUUUAUUGUCUUUGUUAAACAUACGUUUGAAUUUGCCUUUUCAAUAACUAUUUUGAAUCUUUGUGGUAUUAUUAAACAGAGUGAACGAAGAUCGGAUGGAGCAUCUGUUUGGUUGCAGUUCAGCAAGUUCAGCUCCAAAGGAACCUGUGAGAAGGUCAGUGAUGCCUCCAGCCGAGAAUGAGAACAGAGUACUUGAUCCAAAGAAAUCGCAGAACAUUGCAAUCCUCUUAAGAGCACUGAAUGUAACUCGUGAGGAAGUGUCAGAAGCUCUUUUAGAUGGUAAGUUUUUGUCUCCAUUUUAAUUCGUUACUUAGGGUAAAGUUCCAUUUGCACCAAGUACCAAUUGGCCUUUGCCUUGAUCGUUAUAAGUUUUAUAGGUUCCUCUAUUAGACACAUAGCGUUUUGAGUAUUGAUGCGGUGAUGGGUUAAUGGAAAUCUUUCUGUUAGUAGGAAUAGUAAUAGAGAUGCUCAUAAGAGGUAUUGGUGGUAAAAGGAUAAAUAAUAAUACUAAAGAGGCUUUGGCCACAAGCUACAAUCAUUUCAAAGAACAAUGACAUAGGAAAUGAUUUUAUCUGCUUUAUAUUGCUUCUUACAUGAUUGCGCAACUUAUGAAAAAAAACUAAUCCUUUAAUUUACAGGGGUAGCAAGCAUGAUGUAGAGCUAUAUACUUGAAACUUAUUAAGAUUCUGAAAAACAUAAAUUGAUUUCCUUAUGAAUUGUUAUCUAAGAUGCUUUUAAAUUUUCGUUCCUAUUAUUUCAAUCUAAUUAAACUUGUGGCACGGUAACAGGUAAUCCCGAGAGCUUAGGUGCAGAACUUCUAGAGACUUUGGUGAAGAUGGCUCCAACAAAGGAAGAAGAGAUAAAACUCCGAGAGUACUCUGGCGAUGUCUCAAAACUAGGAACAGCUGAAAGAUUCCUUAAAACCAUUCUCGAUAUCCCUUUUGCAUUCAAACGAGUUGAAGCAAUGUUGUAUAGAGCCAAUUUUGAUGCAGAAGUCAAGUAUCUAAGGAACUCUUUCCAGACACUAGAGGUUAGUUAGUCACUCGCUAAAUGAUUCAAUCUCUCAAAUGAAUUUGUCUUGAUAGUCUCAACCCCUUGUUUGCUUUUGUAGGAAGCAAGCUUAGAAUUAAAAGCAAGCAGGCUAUUCCUUAAGCUCCUCGAAGCUGUUCUAAUGACAGGAAACAGAAUGAACGUUGGCACAAAUCGUGGAGAAGCCAAAGCCUUCAAACUCGAUACUCUUUUAAAACUCGUGGACAUAAAAGGAGUUGACGGCAAAACCACAUUGCUUCACUUUGUCGUCCAAGAAAUCACAAAAUCCGAGGCAACCACAACAACAGUAGAUGAAACCAUCGUCCAUGAAAACAAAGACGGUUUCAGAAAGCAAGGAUUACAAGUCGUGGCUGGACUGAGUAGAGAUCUGGCAAACGUAAAAAAAUCAGCCGGAAUGGAUUCCGACGUACUGAGUGGGUACGUGACAAAGCUCGAGACGGGUCUUGAGAAACUCCGAGCUUUUGUCAAGACAGAGACAACAACAACAACUCCAGGGAAGUUCUUUGAUUCGAUGAAAACGUUUCUCAAAGAGGCCGAAGAAGAGAUUCGAAAGAUCAAAGGAGGCGAAAGAAAAGCUCUGUCAAUGGUUAAAGAAGUAACGGAGUAUUUCCACGGAGACGCUGCAAAAGAAGAAGCACAUCCUUUGAGAAUCUUCAUGGUCGUGAGAGAUUUUCUCGGAGUUCUUGAUAACGUUUGUAAAGAAGUUAAGACGAUGCAGGAAAUGUCGUCAGCGAUGGGUUCGGCUUCAGCUAGAUCGUUCAGGAUUUCAGCUACAGCUUCGUUACCGGUUCUUCACAGGUAUAAAUCAAGACAAGAAGAUACAAGCUCAGAUAAUGAACACAGCAGCAACUCUUCUACGUGAUGAAACACACAAAACAAAAAGCUGUACAGUUUCUUACACCGGAGACAAGGGAUUAAGUUGGUGUUUCUCAAACCGGAGGAGAUAUUGAGUUAGUUAACUCGGAGAAUAUGGGCCGGUUCAUGAAGGAACAAACACUACAAUGAUCAAAUUUUCGUUAACAAAUAAGUUUCUUUGUUAAUUUUUCUUUUUUCGUCGGCAGUUGAAAUAUAGAUAGAUAUGUAUAAAUAUAUCCUAAUAUCUUGAGGUUAUUAGUGGAGAUUUUGUUUAUUUUGGACGUUAUAAUCUUUAUCCAAUUCAAAAAGUUAGUAGUCGUAUGACCACAUAAGUAAGAAUUACGAGAUAGGUUGGAAUCGUGUUUACAUCUUUUUUUUUCUUCUUGUUUUCUUGUUCUAAAGGAAUCAGAAUCCAAUACGAAAGUACAUAAUAAAAGGAGAUUUGUAAAGGAAACGUACAAAUGUAUGGUUGUAAUAUGAGUGCACGGAUUUGAAUUUGUGACGAUGGAUGUUUCCAAUAUUAUUUAAUGAAAUACGAACAUGUGAUGUGAAUGAGACCGAUUCUUCUGUACAGCUUGUACCACACGUCUCUCUCUUUCUUACUGCAUUUGUCCUCUUCUGCGUCACUUUUUUCUCCCACCACGAUCUUUUCGUUGCAGUUUCCCAUUUUUGGAGGUAUUAAAAAUAACAAAACAAAGUAGCGUCGUAUUUAACUUUGGUAGAUUCCUGCUCUUUUUUUUUUGUCGUUUCUUUCUCAACAAGACACUGAGUUAAAAACAACAAAACCACUAAACCGAAACGAGUAAUCAAGCUCUAUAUAAAUAAACCGGAUCUAACAUUCAUAACCAACCAACUUAGAUUUUGACCACCAAAUGUGUAUCUUUCUUUCAUUUCAUUUUAUUAUGUUACACUUUUUUUUCAGGGAGAAGAUCACAAGAAACGCUUAAAACUCGCCAUUCUUGGGACUGAAGAAAACGAUUAAGACAUGGUGGAGGAAGAUCUGGUCACGGGUAGAAAGAAAGGAGAGGCUCCGAUUUUCUUAGAACCUAACACAUUCUUCACCAGAAGUUUCCAUCUAACCUCAUCCUUCUUGCUCUGUUUCUCCAUCUUCUCCUUAAAGUUUCCGCACAGCGGGACUCGACACUGAUCAGAAUCAGCGCAAACACGUGAAUGCAACUCAAGGAGUUGCCACAUUCUCUUGCAAUGCACGCAACCUCCCGGAACCCUAAGCUUGCAUCCAGCGAAAUGCCUGAUCAGCGAUUCCAACCCUUUGCAAGCUUCGUAGUGACACGUGGCGUGGUUCGGUUUCAAAUCUUUAUCGUGCGGUCCUAUCGUUUUACACCCGUCUCGGCAUAUAUGAACAAGCGCUUCCAUCGCUUCGUAUAGCUGCGAGUAUAUCCUCUCUUCAUUGCGUUUUCUGAUCCUCUCUUUCCGAGCCUGCACAUAUGUUUAACAACGUUUUAGAAAAAAAAUGGUAACGAGCCAGAGUUGAAAAAUGUAAUUAAUUACUUACGUUUUCUUCGAUGAAGACAGAGUCUCUAAGUUCUUUCUCGAGAAAGGGAUGGCUUUUCUUCAUAGCUGUCCAUGCUUCUGUCGCGUAAAGCUCCUUGAAGUGUUUCAUGAUCGUACGGUGAGAUAUAACGCUGAGCCGAGGGAAAUCACAUAGCAGGGCAAGCUGGAAGACGUCGAUUACGUUCUCAGUGGUGAGCAAACCAUGUUCUAGAUGCCAUUCGCAGACCCGUUUCAGCUGAGGAACCACGUACGCGUGAGACAGAAGCAGCAAGUGCAUGAUGUACUCAUUCAUCUCUUCUUUCUUAUAGCUACAAAAAAAGAAAGAAAGUCAGGUUUAAUAAAAACUAAGAGAAUGUUAAAAGAAGAGGUAAAUAUUAUAGAGAAGUGUACCAAGAAGAGUAGAGGAAACGAAUGAAAACUCGGACAGCUUCAUGAGGGACGCCACGGAUUGAGAUUGUAUACCACUUUCCAUGUUUUUUGGCUUGCUUCAACAUGCCUUUGAUCACACUUGAAGCAGUCCCCUGUUAAAUUAAAAACCAACAAAAAAAAAGACUUAAAGUCUAACCUAGAGAUCCAAACAAUACAAGGAUCAAUAUAAGAUUUCAAAGGAGAGAGCAUUACAAUGAUAUUGGCAUGAGCAUAGACGAUGCCGCCAUUAUCAGUGUAGAUGACAACAUUAGCUUUGUAUCCGUCAUUGAAAAGACGAUCCCACAUAUCUUUUGUGGCUGUGGGAACGCAGGUGUGCUCUGGAGCUACAUCGUUACGGUAUCUUUUUUGGUGACCAUCAGAUUUUGAAGGAAGAGGUGGAGGGAUCGGUACAGAAGAAGAAUCAGCAGCUUUUUGAAGAUCAACACAAGCCAUCACCAUUUCUCCUUUUUAUCUUUUCCCUCCCUGAAGCAAAACCAAUUGAAACUUUUGAUUAUAUGUUAAAUACAGAGAUCUUUGCUUUUACUUCACACAAUAAAAAUUCUAUGAAUAAUCCAUUAUCAUUUCACAAAUGUUUUUAAAACCUUUAUUUACGAUCAAGAAUCAUAACAUAUCUUUGAAACUUUUUUCAAGAUUCCAUGAAACAGUUUAACCAUAAUCGUUUUUUCCUCACGCAAUACAGAAAAACAAACAAUGGUCGAGAUCAAACACUAGAUAAUUCAAAACAGAUGAAUAGAGAAAAUGUUAAGAAACAAGAACAUACCUCCUUCAAACGAGCUAAGCUAGAAUCUUGAUUCUGACCGAACCGUUAGAGCAAGUUCAAUCAAAAUUAACUCAAUUAUGAGAAUAUAUAUAAAAGUCUCCUCCUUCCUCUAACCAGCAGGAGAAGAAACUCUAUAGAGAAGCUUCAAAACAGAUCACAGAUCUCUUCUCAUUAUAUAAACACAAACACACUCUCGAAACAAGGGAACACGACAAAAGAUCUUUUGAAGAAAAUAAAUAAAUUGGAUAUUUAUUUUUGUUGCUCACUUUUUUUCUUUCCGUCAAUUAUUAUUACAAAGAUAUUUUCUUGUUCAUCACCGCCAAACAAACAACACCUGCGCAAAAAAUCACCGAGGGGCGCGUGGAUGCUACGGUUACGAAACGGACGGCUGAGAGCGAUUACGCAGGAUAAGUCACCUCUCUGCACACUAGUGUCACCACGGAGGUCUCCUCCUCCACUCCAUACGCCACCUCCACCUCCACCUCCUCCCCCUCCUCCUCGUCCUCCUCCGCCUCCGCCUCCUCAGAUACGGCCAAGAGAUUUCCAGAUACCUCGAAAGCUCAGCAAUCCAGAAGCAACGAAGCCAGACGAUCAAUCAAGAAAACUAGCAUUCAAGACUCCAAGUCCUCAAUCGAAAGCUGUUGAAGAGGCCAAAAGUGUAUCAGCUGACGGGGACACGGAUCCAAGCAAGCCAAAGUUGAAGCCACUCCACUGGGACAAAGUACGCGCGAGCUCUGAUCGUGCCACAGUUUGGGACCAGCUCAAAUCAAGCUCAUUCCAGUGCGUAUUACUGUCUUCUGCAUUGUUGUGAAACAUACGUUUGAAUUUUCCGUUUUCGAUAACUAUUUGAAUCUUUGUGGUAUUAUUAAACAGAGUGAACGAAGAUCGGAUGGAGCAUCUGUUUGGUUGCAGUUCAGCAAGUUCAGCUCCAAAGGAACCUGUGAGAAGAUCAGUGAUGCCUCCAGCUGAGAAUGAGAACAGAGUACUUGAUCCAAAGAAAUCUCAGAACAUUGCAAUCCUCUUGAGAGCACUGAACGUAACUCGUGAGGAGGUGUCAGAAGCUCUUUUAGAUGGUAAGUUGUUGUCUCCCACUUGAUUCAUUACUUACGGUAAAGUUACCUUUUGCACAAAGUAACGUUUGGCCUUAACCUAGAUCGUUAUAAGUUAGUAAGCUAUUUGUAUUUAGGUUCCUCUGUUCAACGCAUAACCUGUUCUUAGUUUUGAUGCCUUGAUGGGCUAGUGGUGAUCUUUCUAGUAGCAGGAAUAGUAAUAAAUGCUUCUCCUCCUCCUCCUCCAGUUUUCCAGUCCACGCCGCCUCCUCCCGACGCUCCCGAUCAGCCAUUUUUCCCGGAGAAUCCUUCCACGCCUGACCAGUCUCAGCUCCCUCCUCCUCCUCCGCCUCCUGCUUCCUCCGACGCCAAUGGCGGAUUACCGAUUCCGACGGCUACUACUCAGCAGGCGAAGCCUGGGAAGAAAUUCGCGAUCGUCAUAUCCGUUGGAGUCGUCACGCUCGGUAUGCUCUCAGCUCUAGCUUUCUUCUUGUAUCGCCACAAAGCUAAACACGCAAGCGACACUCAGAAACUCGUUAGCAGAGGAGGCGAUGGCGGUUCUCGAAGAUUCCAGGAAGAUCCGCUUCCACCGACGUCUUCCACGUUUCUCUAUAUGGGAACCGUUGAACCGAGCCGCGAACCGGCAAGUGAAUCUAUUGGACCGGUUAAUACUUCUCCGUACCGGAAAUUAAAUUCGGUUACGAGAUCAGAUCGAUACCGGCCGAGUCCUGAGCUUCAACCGCUUCCACCGUUAGCUAAACCGCCGCAACCGUCUGAGAACUCUCCCUCGGCCUUGUCUCCUUCUACGUCGUCUUCCGACGAAGAAUGCCGCGGCACCGCGUUUUACACGCCGCAUGGAUCUGCUAUCAGCAGCGACGACGGUUACUACACGGCGUUUCCUCGGUCAGCCAACAGCAACGGCCAUUCCUCAGGAUCGAUUCCUCACUCGAAGAGGACUUCUCCGAAGUCGAAGUUUGGAUCUAGGUCGCCGGAGAUGAAGCACGUUAUCAUUCCGUCGAUAAAGCAGAAACCGCCGCCAAUACAAUCUCCACCACUAAGGGGCUUGGAAACUGAUCCUUAUCCACAGAACAAGCCUAAGUUCUCUCAGCCUCCUCCUCCGCCGAAUAGAGCGGCGUUUCAGGCGAUUACGCAGGAUAAGUCACCUCUCAGCACACGAGUGUCACCACGGAGGUCUCCUCCUCCUCCACUCCAUACGCCACCUCCACCUCCACCUCCUCCUCCUCCUCAGAUACGGCCAAGAGAUUUCCAGAUACCUCGAAAACUCAGCAAUCCAGAAGCAACGAAGCCAGACGAUCAAUCAAGAAAACUAGCAUUCAAGACUCCAAGUCCUCAAUCGAAAGCUGUUGAAGAGGCCAAAAGUGUAUCAGCUGACGGGGACACGGAUCCAAGCAGGCCAAAGUUGAAGCCACUCCACUGGGACAAAGUACGCGCGAGCUCUGAUCGUGCCACAGUUUGGGACCAGCUCAAAUCAAG
rnacentral:lncRNA from 1 species